GGCCUCUCUGUGAAGAACCUCUGAGUGAAAUAAGCCAUAACGGGAGGUUCCUCUGCCCUGGUAUCCGGAGCUUAUACCUGAUACCACAAGGUAAGCAAUAAAAGCUAAGAAUCCUUCUCAGACUAAUGAAGCUGAGCUGCACAGAAGACUCUGCAUCCAGACCAGCUUCCUGGGAGAAGCAGAAACCCAGAGAUGCCUGGAAGAAGGUUAGACCAGAAUCACUUGUAAAGGACACUCUCUGAGCUGCUGAGCUGCUCCAGGUUCCCAGCUUUCCUGAGCUGUCACUCAUGCAGGGGUUGGCCUUGGUGAUGCAGCUGUGUUUGAGUAUUUCCUGCUGCUGUUAGAAAUCCCAAUAAAAGCCAUUGGCUCAACAA